rnacentral:lncRNA from 1 species
AGUGACAACAACGCCACAGGCGGCACCAGGCAACAACAACAACAAACAACAAACAACAACAACAAAUGCAAUUAAAUUUGAAUGAAAAGCACCGCAAGGUAAAUGCUGCCUUCCACUGUUUACUUAACUGUCACCGGUUUGCCUUAAAGUUAUCCUUCUGCUUGCGCACCCUGUACAACAAGGAGCACUCUCGACCCUCUGUCAUGGACCGAACUCUGCUUAAUUUAUAUUUACAUAUCCUAUCCUACACGGAAGUACCUCGCAUUGCCACGUUGCGCCUGCCAGAGGGUGUCUAAGCCAUCAGGAGCCUUCGUAGUCUGACUUUUCUUUCCUACUUUUGCAUUUUUUGUUUGUCCUUCUGGGGUGGUUAAGUUUUUCCCCAGCUGAUUUACAUGUUUUCUUUGCAGCCGCUGGAUCUUUGAUUAACUUGGACUGACGGCAAAUGCAGAAAGUUUUAUUUGCAGCGGCAUCGGGUUGCCUACACCAGCGGCCAACACCGUUUCCCAGCUACACAAGCACAGACACAUAGAUCUCGGGUUGCCG